rnacentral:snRNA from 1 species
GUGCUCGCUUCGGCAGCACAUAGACUAAAAUUGGAAUGAUACAGAGAAGAUUAGUAUGGCCCCUGUGCGAGCAUGAUACCCAAAUUCGUGAAGGUUCCAUAUUUUU